AAACUUUCAACAACGGAUCUCUAGGCUCUUGCAUCGAUGAAGAACGCAGUGAAAUGUGAUAAGUAAUGUGAAUUGCAGAAUCUCGUGAAUCAUCAAAUCUUUGAACGCAUAUUGCACCCUAUAGUACUCUAUAGGGUAUAUCUGUCUGAGUGUGAGC
rnacentral:rRNA from 1 species